rnacentral:lncRNA from 1 species
CUUCGCGUCGUCGUCCACGCUGUUCGUCAUCGAGUUCAUCCUCUUCCACUACGUCGAGAUCCGGCGGUGGCAGGACAUCAAGAACCCCGGCAGCGUCAACCAGGACCCCAUCUUCAAGAGCUACAGCCUGCCGCCCCACGAGUGCGGAUACCCCGGCAGCGUCUUCAACCCGCUCAACUUCGCGCCCACGCUCGAGGCCAAGGAGAAGGAGCUCGCCAACGGUGAGUAGCUUCUGAUCCCGUGACUACACGGUCGCCGUCCGCCGGCAACUUGAAAUGUUUACUAACCAUAUCCGGAUGUGAUGUGCCUGUUCAUGCAGGGAGGCUGGCCAUGCUGGCGUUCCUGGGGUUCCUGAUCCAGCACAACGUCACCGGCAAGGGGCCCUUCGACAACCUGCUGCAGCACCUGUCCGACCCAUGGCACAACACCAUCAUCCAGACUUUCUCCGGUUGAGUCGACGGGGAGUGAUCACCAAUUUGGUGGGCUGAUGGGGACAGGAGGACAUACAUUGAAACGCGAUCGAUGUGAAUUCCUUUCUGUGUGGAUCAUCAGUUUGUGAUGUGUGUUUAAUCC